rnacentral:rRNA from 1 species
GACGAACGCUGGCGGCGCGCCUAACACAUGCAAGUCGAGCGGUCUUUGGGCGUCCGACCUUCGGGGAGGAAGCCCGAAGAUAGCGGCGAACGGGUGAGUAACGCGCGGGCAACCUACCCUUAAGACCGGGAUAACCUCGGGAAACCGGGGCUAAUACCGGAUACGCUCGUCCGGGGGCAUCCCUGGAUGAGGAAAGGGUUACCGCUUAAGGAUGGGCCCGCGUCCCAUUAGCUAGUUGGUGGGGUAACGGCCCACCAAGGCGACGAUGGGUAACCGGUCUGAGAGGGCGAACGGUCACACUGGAACUGAGACACGGUCCAGACUCCUACGGAGGCAGCAUG